UACGAAGGGGGCUAGCGUUGCUCGGAAUUACUGGGCGUAAAGGGCGCGUAGGCGGGUCUUUAAGUCAGGGGUGAAAUCCUGGGGCUCAACUCCAGAACUGCCUUUGAUACUGAAGGUCUUGAGUUCGGGAGAGGUGAGUGGAACUGCGAGUGUAGAGGUGAAAUUCGUAGAUAUUCGCAAGAACACCAGUGGCGAAGGCGGCUCGCUGGCCCGAUACUGACGCUGAGGCACGAAAGCGUGGGGAGCAAACAGG
rnacentral:rRNA from 1 species